rnacentral:rRNA from 1 species
UACGUAGGAUGCAAGCGUUGUCCGGAAUUAUUGGGCGUAAAGAGCGAGCAGGCGGUUUGGAAAGUUGGACGUGAAAUUUUAGGGCUUAACCCUAAAGGGUCGUCCAAAACUCCCAGACUAGAGUGCAGGAGAGGAAAGCGGAAUUCCUGGUGUAGUGGUGAAAUGCGUAGAUAUCAUGAGGAAUACCAGAGGCGAAGGCGGCUACCUGGACAAUUGCUGACGCUCAGGCACGAAAGCGUGGGGAGCAAAAGGG